GGCCUCCCGGUGCUUACUGCAGGCUGUGUUCUUGCACCGCCUGCACAGAGCGAGGAGGCAGAGUCAACCAACCCCACGUACACCUCAGCCCAGGCCCUUUGCCUGGGCUCUGUUGUGAAUGGGGGGACAUGG